GAUGAACGCUGGCGGCGUGCCUAAUACAUGCAAGUCGAGCGAACAGACGAGGAGCUUGCUCCUCUGACGUUAGCGGCGGACGGGUGAGUAACACGUGGAUACCCUACCUAUAAGACUGGGAUAACUUCGGGAAACCGGAGCUAAUACCGGAUAAUAUAUUCAACCGCAUUGUUCAAUAGUGAAAGACGGUUUUGCUGUCACUUAUAGAUGGAUCCGCGCCGCUUUAGCUAGUUGUUAAGGUAACGGCUUACCAAGGCAACGAUGCGUAGCCGACCUGAGAGGGGGAUCGGCCACACUGGAACUGAGACACGGUCCAGACUCCUACGGGAGGCAGCAGUAGGGAAUCUUCCGCAAUGGGCGGAAGCAUGACGGAGCAACGCCGCGUGGGUGAUGAAGGUCUUCUGAUCGUAAAACUCUGUUACUAGGGAAGAACAAAUGUGUAAGUAACUAUACACGUCUUGACGGUACCGAAUCAGAAAGCCCCGGCUAACUACGUG
rnacentral:rRNA from 1 species